rnacentral:rRNA from 1 species
UAAGACGGAGGAUGCAAGCGUUAUCCGGAAUGAUUGGGCGUAAAGCGUCCGCAGGUGGCAGUUCAAGUCUGCUGUCAAAGACCGGGGCUUAACUUCGGAAAGGCAGUGGAAACUGAACAGCUAGAGUAUGGUAGGGGCAGAGGGAAUUCCUGGUGUAGCGGUGAAAUGCGUAGAGAUCAGGAAGAACAUCGGUGGCGAAGGCGCUCUGCUGGACCAUAACUGACACUCAGGGACGAAAGCUAGGGGAGCGAAUGGGAUUAGAUACCCCAGUAGUCCUAGCCGUAAACGAUGGAUACUAGGUGUUGUCUGUAUCGACCCGGACAGUGCCGUAGCUAACGCGUUAAGUAUCCCGCCUGGGGAGUACGCACGCAAGUGUG